CCUACGGGUGGCAGCAGUAAGGAAUAUUGGUCAAUGGACGGAAGUCUGAACCAGCCAUCCCGCGUGCAGGAAGAAGGUCCUAUGGAUUGUAAACUGCUUUUAGCAGAGACGAAACGCCUUCAUUUAUGGGGGUUUGACGGUAUCUGCGGAAUAAGCACCGGCUAACUCCGUGCCAGCAGCCGCGGUAAUACGGAGGGUGCAAGCAUUAUCCGGAAUAACGGGGGUUAAGGGGUGCGAAGGCGGGGGAUGUGAAAGCCUGUAGCUUAACUACAGAAUUGCCAUUGAUACUGAGUUUCUUGAAUUGGGUUGAGGUUAGCGGAAUGUGACAUGUAACGGUGAAAUGUUUAGAUAUGUCAUGGAACACCGAUUGCGAAGGCAGCUAGCUGGGCCUUGAUUGACGCUGAGGCACGAAAGCGUGGGUAGCGAACAGGAUUAGAUACCCGUGUAGUC
rnacentral:rRNA from 1 species